CGUGCGCCUGCGCCGCCGCCUCCAGCUUGUAGGCGCCGCUGCUGCCCGCCGGCGACGUGGCGCUCUUGGGCAGCGGCUGCAGCGGGUGCUCGGGCCGCUCGGCCUCCAUGGCGAAGCUGACGGGCCGCAGGAAGCAGAUGUCCAGGCUGGACUCGGAAGAGGCGGGCGAGCAGUUCUCGAAGAGGGCCGGGGCCUGGUACGGCUCCUCGUCGUAGGGCGCGGGCAGCGCGAAGAUCUCGCCGCCGUACUCGAACUCCUCGUAGCCCGCGGGCACGAAGCCGCGGGCGUCGGGCAGGAGCUCGGCCGGCGCGCGCAGGGAGCGCUCCACGUUGGCCAGCGGCUCGGCGGGCGAGGGCUCGAAGUCCAUCUCGGGGAUGGCCUGCAGCGGCCCGGCCAGCGCCUUCACGUCCUGCUCGGCGGCACAGAACUGCGCGGGCGCCAGGAGGCUCUCGGGCCUCUCGUGCUUUCUGCCCUCCAGCUCCCACUCACUGGGCUUCCCGGGCUGCAUGCUCUCCAUCAGGCUUGGCUGUGGCUGGCUUUUCUUCACUGGGGGCAUCAGAUGUCUUUAAAAGGAAAACAGAACACAAAAGGAGGUGUGCUUACGGUCGGUUAGUGCAGGCCUCAGCGGCCGAGGGCGACGGCGACGGGCGACGGCGGGCGCUACACGCUCUGUCAGCCGCAGCCCCGGCGCCGCGGGAGCCGCCCGCUCCGCUCUCUCGCCUCCACCCUCCCCUCGCGCCGGCGUGGGUCACCUACCAAGCUCCACAGGCUCCUCCAGCCGAGGAGGCCCCAUGAGCCCUGGCCCCCCACCUAGGGGGGUGAAAAUGCCAUCUGGCGAGAGGGUGCCCGAAGUCUCUGUCUGAGCAAGGAGGCUGCGUGUCGACGAGGCAAGUCGGCCAAGGAGCGUCCUGACCCGGCGCGCGCCGGGGAGCUCCGACCCACCCAGCUCACCCAGCUCGUGUCCAGAGCCCCCGAGGCAUCUCCUUCCUCUCACCUCUCGAUUUGUUUUGUCCUAGCGGUAUGAUACAAAGUCAUGGAAAGAGCUUUUGUUCGACUCCUGGACCUUCGCGCUUAAGAACAAUUACGUUUCUAAAUGGAAUGAAUGGGUAACGAUCUUGAAAGCUGUUGAAUCUUGAUGAUGAAGUACGGGGUUCACGGUACACCUUCGUAGGAAUAAAUCUCCAAGAACUCCUUGGCGUGGCCACUUUAGGACCCGUUCCUGCAGAGCAUGAAGCAAAUCGAGGUGCUGCUGGACAAGAUUUUCAGAGACAAGGAAGAAAUUCUGCUGGCUCAGAAUCUUAGAUGUGGAAGCAAUGCUGCACCAAAAGGCACUGCAUUACUAAAUGUCAUGGAUAUCCAGAAUCAAGGUGGUUGUCCCAAGCUGGCCAUGUGACCUCAGGUGAGCACACCAGGGGAAAAAAAUAUAGAAUAAGAAAGAUGCUGAAAGCAAUGUUUUCUUUUGGAAUUUGUCUUCCUUGGCUCCAUAAUGGAAGAAAGAGCUCUGUUCAAUGAAUAUAACUCACUCUGUCCCUGGCCUCUUCACACACAGAGGAAAAGGGGACUUAGAGGAUCUUAAAUCUGUGACUGCAUGACAAGAAACCAACAAUAUAAGAACAAAACAUAAGCUGCUGAUUCUUCAACAUUACAUCUUCAUUGUCCCUGGAUCAGGCCACCCCUUCUUCUCUGGACCUGUCAAAUGAAAUCAAGAAGGGAUAGCAGGAAGAACUGAGAGAGAGAGGCAGAGACACAGGCAGAGGGAGAAGCAGGCUCCACUCAGGGAGCCC